CUAUACAAUAUCUCUGUUAAAAUGCUGAGAAGAUUUAUCCUAAAAGAAGGCACCAAAGCAAUGGGGUUCAUCAACUCAGGAUCCAGUAGUGUAAUACAGAAGCCUGUUACGAGAUAUAAGCAAUUGUAAUGAACAGCAUAACUAUUUGUGUGACUACACUUGGUAUAAUUCUAUUAAGCAUGGAGAUUGCAACUUUUGCAUUAAAUGCAACCACAUACAAUUGGUCAAACGCACUUUGCCCUCGGAAAUCUCACUGUCGGAAUCCUUGGAAAUCACACCACGCACAACUUCUAUUUCUUCAUAAUUUGCAAAGAACCAGUGUGACUCCAGUCAAGAACAAAAGAUUAAUUGUGAAUUAGCGAAGAACUCUAAUUUUUUCAAGCAGCCACAUGGAAAACGCAUUCUAAUGAAAUCCUUUCCAUUGCUCUUUUUUCUUAGUUCUUCAAUAAAGCAUGCGAUUUGAUCACAAA
rnacentral:lncRNA from 1 species